rnacentral:lncRNA from 1 species
UGAUAGUUUAAUUUAAUUCUGGCAAAUUUAAAAUGGAAAAAGAAAAAAGAGCAAAACUACUCUAGUCCCCCAAAAUGUCAUUAAUCUGACAUAUAGCCAGAGUUUGAAUACCCUAAGUUCACAUUCCCAACAUGUGGGUGGAAGAUUUAAGCCCAAUACGUCUAGUCAAGAGGACCCUUGGGAGGCCACCUCAGUCCAGAUAACCCUGCAGUAGAGGCCAGGAGGGCACAAAGGGACCUGGGUCGUACAAACACUAAGCCAGGCUGUGAAGUUGGGGACAGAGGAGGGACUGGUGAUACAUGUUCCAGGCACAUGGGGGUCCCAAGAAGGAUGGUGACACAUCAGCAACCCCAGUAAAUAUAAUCAGAAACAUCUGAAGAAGCUGAAAACCAUGAAGACAGAGCCACCUGCUCUCCUUUUGCAAUGCCCCGUACUCAGCCCCAGGUUUCCUGUCCUCCAGGGAGCUCUUGUGUUGUCUUCUUAUUAUACAUCCACUUAACUUCCUGCCUUGGGCUCAGAUGUCUCUGUUCACUUGUCAGGGCUCCGGAGGCUUUUGUGUCUAUUCAACUAGAAAAGGUGGGGCUGCGGGACAUGAUGCUGAACGCCUUCCUCCUCAGGAAACAAACCAUGGCCGACAGAAUGAAGAGCCUUGAUGAAAUUGGUAAAGUCAAGAGAGACGUUAUAGUUGAAUAUUGUCAGAAGUUCAACUGCCGUAUGUCUCACUAUGCUCUUCGGGGUCAGAUUAUGGCAUACUGCAAUAGCCUGAGAGCCCUGCUGGAAGAUUUCCCUACCAUCAGGGACACCUUUUUCAUGGUGGGACAACCACAAGAAAAGAAAGGGUUAAGAGACUCCAAGGAGGGCCUCAAGGCUGACCCCAGGUGUGUAAUUUCCUUUAGAGCUUUUUACUCCCCCUCCAUACCCUACCCUUCUCAGGGAAGAGGGAGGAGGCAUGUUAAACUUGGCAUGGGAAUCUUGCUUUCUUUACCGCAUUUGACCUUGAUCUUCUGGUUCAGAAGGGCAAAAGAAAGAGAUAACACCCUAAGAAUAACAGUAUCUUUGUAUUUGAACCCAGAAGAGGUUCUUUGUUUAUGGGCCAUUUCGCUGCUUUUUCAAUCUAUGCAGUUUUGUUUUCCCCUGGAGAGCCCAGAGAUUUCCAUCAGUCACACUCUUUUACAUAAGCCAGCAUCUAAAAUAAGCAAACAAAUAAGUAAACUUGAUCUUGAGCUGUCCUGACUUCAAAUAUUUUACUCAGUGGAGCAGAAGAAAUAAGAAACACACACACCCACACACACACACACACACACACACACACACAACAUUGAUGCACCAGUGCCUUGGAUAAAUCU